rnacentral:rRNA from 1 species
AUUGAACGCUGGCGGCAUGCCUUACACAUGCAAGUCGAACGGCAGCACGGGAGCAAUCCUGGUGGCGAGUGGCGAACGGGUGAGUAAUAUAUCGGAACGUGCCCAGUCGUGGGGGGAUAACGUAGCGAAAGCUACGCUAAUACCGCAUACGAUCUAUGGAUGAAAGCGGGGGAUCGCAAGACCUCGCGCGAUUGGAGCGGCCGAUAUCAGAUUAGGUAGUUGGUGGGGUAAAAGCCUACCAAGCCUUCGAUCUGUAGCUGGUCUGAGAGGACGACCAGCCACACUGGAACUGAGACACGGUCCAGACUCCUACGGGAGGCAGCAGUGGGGAAUUUUGGACAAUGGGCGCAAGCCUGAUCCAGCAAUGCCGCGUGCAGGAUGAAGGCCUUCGGUUGUAACUGCUUUGUACGGUAACGGAAACGGUUACGUCUCUAAUACAGGGGCGU